CGCGGCCUAUCAGCUUGUUGGUGAGGUAACGGCUCACCAAGGCAUCGACGGGUAGCUGGUCUGAGAGGAUGAUCAGCCACACUGGGACUGAGACACGGCCCAGACUCCUACGGGAGGCAGCAGUAGGGAAUAUUGCACAAUGGGCGAAAGCCUGAUGCAGCAACGCCGCGUGCGGGAAGAAGGCCCUAGGGUUGUAAACCCCUUUCAGCAGGGACGAAAAUGACGGUACCUGCAGAAGAAGCUCCGGCCAACUACGUGCCAGCAGCCGCGGUAAUACGUAGGGAGCGAGCGUUGUCCGGAAUUAUUGGGCGUAAAGAGCUCGUAGGCGGUUCAGUAAGUCGGGUGUGAAAACUCAAGGCUCAACCUUGAGACGCCACUCGAUACUGCUGUGACUUGAGUCCGGUAGAGGAGUGUGGAAUUCCUGGUGUAGCGGUGAAAUGCGCAGAUAUCAGGAGGAACACCAGCGGCGAAGGCGGCACUCUGGGCCGGUACUGACGCUGAGGAGCGAAAGCAUGGGGAGCAAACAGGAUUAGAUACCCUGGUAGUCCACGCCGUAAACGUUGGGCACUAGGUGUGGGUCUCAACCAACGAGAUCCGCGCCGUCGCUAACGCAUUAAGUGCCCCGCCUGGGGAGUACGG
rnacentral:rRNA from 1 species